rnacentral:lncRNA from 1 species
GGGGAGAGGGAGUGGGGAGAACAGUUGUGGCAGAGCUGAUACUGAAGCUGGAAGCUGAGAUCCACAAGUACCCUGAGGAUGCCCAGGGCUUCUGCUUCAAGUUCUACAGCCCAUGCUGGAGAAAACACAAACCCAGCGUCCAAGAGUCUUGCAACAGCAUAAGACUUUCCAGCUGCAGCAGAGCAAAGGAGGAAGGGAGAAAGGGUGACUUCACAUAUGCUAGGAUGGCUGCGGGGGACCUUGAGGAUGGAUGCUUGCGGGAAUGAGAGCUUUUGGAAUUCCCCAGAGGAAGCAGCUGCCUUCUUCCAAGCCCCAGGAAGCAGCUCAGUGCAUGGGAGGCUUCCUUGGGGUUCUCCCUCCAUCCUUGGUGGCAGGAUUUGCCCUUCAGGUUCAUCCAUUUCCUGGGGAUUAUCUCUGCAUAAUUACUCUGUGAUCCAAAUAGUUGAUUAGAGACACUCCAGUCCUCUCUUUGUCAACAUGGUACGCUUGUGGCUGCCAAACAUGACAGCUUUUUUAAAUUAUUAAAAUGUUUGCAGUGGUAGCAUUUAAAAUGAAUUUCAGGGCAGUGAUAGUCACAUUGUGAGAAAGUCAUAUGUGUCUAUGUGAGAAAGUAUUCCCCCUUGUGAUUUCCCCUUUGUCCCAAAGAUUCGUUCAAAGCACAUCUAACUGUAGAACUGCACCAAAGUUUGCAGAAGUUUCUUGACCUUAUCUCUGUGGACUGAUGAGAGUAUGGUUUGUGUAGCUGUGAGUGUGUGUGUGUGUGUGUGUGUGUGUAGAGGAGACACUACCCAAAUUCCCAUCAUUCCAUGUCUACUUUGCUUUGUCAACUCCAGAGUCACCAAAUCCAAAGGCCGCUUAGCAUAUGCUAUGGAUAGUUUGAAUGUUUGUUUCCCAAGGCUCAUCUGGUAACUUCCUCACUCUAUAAGGAUAUGGCCUUUGGGAAGUGGGACUAGUAUCUUUAUGGGAGACAUCAGAGAGGUCCCUCAUCUCUCUGACAUGUGACAUUAGAGUGAGAAGAUGAGGAAGAGGGUCUUCACCAGCCACAGACUCUGCUGAGAACUUGAUCUUUAACUUCUUAGCAUCUAGAACUAUGAACGGUAAAUUUCUGUUAUGUAAAAAUUGACCCAAUCUGUGUAUUUUGGUAUUUUGUGAUGGCGGUCUGAAGUGAGUAAUUCAGUACAUACCACUGGUAUGUGAAACCU